rnacentral:rRNA from 1 species
GACGAACGCUGGCGGCGUGCUUAACACAUGCAAGUCGAGCGGUAAGGCCCUUUCGGGGGUACACGAGCGGCGAACGGGUGAGUAACACGUGGGUGACCUGCCCUCAGCUCUGGGAUAAGCCUGGGAAACCGGGUCUAAUACUGGAUAUGACUCCAUGACGCAUGUUGUGGGGUGGAAAGCCUUGUGCGGCUGAGGAUGGGCCCGCGGCCUAUCAGCUUGUUGGUGGGGUGANGGCCUACCAAGGCGACGACGGGUAGCCGGCCUGAGAGGGCGACCGGCCACACUGGGACUGAGACACGGCCCAGACUCCUACGGGAGGCAGCAGUGGGGAAUCUUGCGCAAUGGGCGAAAGUCUGACGGAGCAACGCCGCGUGAGUGAUGAAGGUUUUCGGAUCGUAAAGCUCUGUUGCCAGGGAAGAAUGCUUAGGAGAGUAACUGCUCUUAAGGUGACGGUACCUGAGAAGAAAG